GACAACGACGACAGAGACGACAACAGGACAGACGACAGAGACAGUCGAUGACGACAGAGACAGUAAAGACAGCAGAGACAAUAAAGACGGCAUGGACAGCGACGACGACAGAGACAGUAAAGACGGCAAGGACAGUGACGACGACAGAGACAGUAAAGACCGCAGGGACAGCGACAACAACAGAGACAAAGACGGCAUGGACAGCGACGACGACAGAGACAAUAAA